GCCCCGCUCGGGUGGCAGCGCGGAGCUGCGGGUUCCCCUCCCGCGGGUGCGGAGCCUCCGCCCCGCGUCCCCGGGGCGCUGAGCGGCGGUGCCGAGCGCUCCCCCUCGGUACGGGGCGAGGGCGUGCAGCGGGGAGAGGAUGUUUCCGAAAAGGUCAGCGCUCUCCCGGCUGCCUUCCAAAGUAGCGUUGUGCUUGCAAAGAAAUAUUACCCCGCUUUGUUAAAUCAUCUCUCCCCGGGGGCGUGAUCCAAAGCCCCUUGAAGUCCUCAGGAGUCUUUGAAUAGGUGUGUGAGACGAAACUUCCUUGUUCCUGACUUGUCAAGGGAAUGAGAAGAGUCUGAUCCUCUAACAGCAAGCCGUAUAUUGAGUUGAUUUCUCUUUGCUAUGACAGAACCAUUUCCUAAAACUUUCCCCAGAAGACAGAAGUGGGUUCUGCUGAAGUUGUGAUUUUGAUUUCUUAGUGGGCAGUAAUAAAAGUAAGAUCUAGUUCACGUUAUUGGCA